GAUGAAGAACGCAGCGAAAUGCGAUAAGUAGUGUGAAUUGCAGAAUUCAGUGAAUCAUCGAAUCUUUGAACGCACAUUGCGCCCCUUGGUAUUCCAUGGGGCAUGCCUGUUCGAGCGUCAUUUACACCCUCAAGCUCAGCUUGGUGUUGGGCCCCGCCGCCCCGGCGGGCCCUAAAGUCAGUGGCGGUGCCGUCCGGCUCCGAGCGUAGUAAUUCUUCUCGCUCUGGAGGUCCGGUCGUGUGCUCGCCAGCAACCCCCAAUUUUUUUCAGGUUGACCUCGGAUCAGGUAGGGAUACCCGCUGAACUUAAGCAUAUCAAUAAGCGGAGGA
rnacentral:misc_RNA from 1 species